UUCAGGCAAGAAUGUGAACGGCGUGACUUGGAUUAUGCUCGAAGGAUCGAUGAGGAGCUCCGGCGAGGGGAGAACGUGACCAGUUCCCCUGAGAUAGGAAGUGAAAUAAAACCCGUUCCAAGCUGGGAUGAGGAAGGUGACAAGACCUGUGAAGGCAAUGAUGACACAACAAGCCAGCCGGUUCAUUCAAGUGAAGUGCAGGUCCCAGCAGGAGAAGUUUUUGCAAG